AAGAGCCGUGUAACGGGAGACUGUUAAGCACGGUUCUAUGAGAGACUUGGGGUGAAAUUCCCCAGGUCUACUCGAC
rnacentral:ncRNA from 1 species